CGGGGAGUAGCGCAGUCUGGUUAGCGCGCAUGCUUCGGGAGCAUGAAGUCGGGGGUUCAAAUCCCCCCUUCCCGACCA
rnacentral:tRNA from 1 species